rnacentral:rRNA from 1 species
CAGUAGCCGCGGGAAAACGGAGGGUGCAAGCGUUAAUCGGAAUUACUGGGCGUAAAGCGCACGCAGGCGGUCUGACAAGUCAGAUGUGAAAUCCCCGGGCUUAACCUGGGAACUGCAUUUGAAACUGUCAGGCUGGAGUCUUGUAGAGGGGGGUAGAAUUCCAGGUGUAGCGGUGAAAUGCGUAGAGAUCUGGAGGAAUACCGGUGGCGAAGGCGGCCCCCUGGACAAAGACUGACGCUCAGGUGCGAAAGCGUGGGGAGCAAACAGGAUUAGAUACCCGGGUAGUCCCUGUCUCUUAUAC